AGAACGAACGCUGGCGGCAGGCUUAACACAUGCAAGUCGAGCGCCCCGCAAGGGGAGCGGCAGACGGGUGAGUAACGCGUGGGAACAUACCCUCCGGUUCGGAAUAGCUCAGGGAAACUUGGAUUAAUACCGGAUACGGCCUAGCGGCGAAAGAUUCAUCGCCGGAGGAUUGGCCCGCGUUCGAUUAGCUAGUUGGUGAGGUAACGGCUCACCAAGGCGACGAUCGAUAGCUGGUCUGAGAGGAUGAUCAGCCACAUUGGGACUGAGACACGGCCCAAACUCCUACGGGAGGCAGCAGUGGGAAUAUUGGACAAUGGGCGCAAGCCUGAUCCAGCCAUGCCGCGUGAGUGAUGACGGCCUUAGGGUUGUAAAGCUCUUUCGCUAGGGACGAUAAUGACGGUACCUAGACAAGACGCCCGGCUAACUUCGUGCCAGCAGCCGC
rnacentral:rRNA from 1 species